CGGGGUAUAGCUCAGCGGUGCAGCAUGUGCUUAGCAUGCAUGAGGUCCUCGGUUCAAUCCCCAGUACUUCCA
rnacentral:tRNA from 1 species